CGUGCCGUGAGGUGUUGGGUUAAGUCCCGCAACGAGCGCAACCCCUGUGGUUAGUUACCAGCACGUAAUGGUGGGGACUCUAGCCAGACUGCCUACGCAAGUAGUGAGGAAGGUGGGGACGACGUCAAGUCAUCAUGGCCCUUACGGCCAGGGCUACACACGUACUACAAUGGCGAGUACAAUGAGUUGCCACAUGGCGACAUGGAGCCAAUCUCAAAAAACUCGCCUCAGUUCGGAUUGGAGUCUGCAACUCGACUCCAUGAAGUCGGAAUCGCUAGUAAUCGUGGAUCAGCA
rnacentral:rRNA from 14 species